UUAAAAGAGAUAACAUCAAAACUCUAUUUAUAAGUAGCUCUUGAAGUCUUGCUAAGCAGACUUGUGUUAUCUAGAAAAGAUGUUUCAACUUAAAAUUUUUACUUUGUUAUUUAUUGGCCUGGCUAUUUUUCUGUUCGCUGGAAAUGUAAAUGCAGCUGAGUCUAUAGGUUCCAAUAACUCUCACUUAUCAUCACAUGGCAGCAAUCAACCUAUUGAUCAAGAAGAAUCAACAGUAGAUGGACCAGGAAACUCAAAUGUGACACAUGAAACAGUAGAAAAGUCACCCGCUUCAAGCGGAUCUUCACAAAAACCAUCAAAUAGUCGCGGUAAAGCUGUUGACCACGGUAAAGCCAAGUCAAAGCCAGGGCCGUCACAUAAAAAAAGCGGCAAAAAAUAGAGCGAAUACAUACAUCUACUUCAUAGAUUACAUAGUACAUCAGUUUUUCUGAAAUUUGGAUGCUUUAUUUUCUAUGAACCAGCAAUAAAAUAAAAUUCAUUUUCAAUCUCGCAA